ACAAUAACUGACCACUGACUAUAUACCUGAGGGCCAAGUUUCCCGACAAUAGGUCUGCGUAACGAUUGCCAAUGUAAUGAUGAUCGGGUAGCUUGACUGCUAAAUCAAUAAACAGACGACACCUAGCUGUGUUUGACCGCAGGAACCGGCCUCUGAUGUCUUGGUUAUCAUCACUUGUUACCUGUCCAGCAUUAAUCUUCCUGUCAAACCCAGGUGUAAAUUACAGCUCUUGCGCAUUGCAGCUGGUCCCUGUGGACAAAGAUACAGAGUUAUCUGCCAUGGAGAUCUAACAUUUCAUUAGGAGGCUGUUGUUUGGUACAAAAAAACAAGAUAAUUUCAGAGACAGAUCCCAGGAAAUACGACAUGUUCAGCCGAGCAGAAGGAAAAUUUGUGUAUCGGACAAUGAUACCCAAUUCAUUCUAGUGUCGGUUCCGUUUCGUGUCGCACCAGCAUUUAUAAUGCAUCUGGCAAUAUGGACAUUAGCGAGGAGCAUUAUCACUAGGAGUUAAUCUAGGGACUUCUCUCAAUAGCUCACAACUGGAAAACCAGACCCAAUGGAAAACAACAUCACUUAGCAACUGUGGAAAAAAUGUCUCCUUUUUUGCCAAUUUUUAUUAAAGAAUGCAUGAAGUUUCAACUGCAUCAAUUGCAGUAUCAUUUAAUCCAGCAAUACUACGCUUUUAGUUAUCAACAUAUGUAUAAUUGUGUUCUGCUGUAAACAGAGACCUUGUCCUGUAAUAUUAGGUAAUACAUGUACUGAUGAAUGUAAUGAAGCGUAGAACAUCUGAAAUAAAAUCCAGUCUGUUAAAAGCCAAGAAUUAU